rnacentral:lncRNA from 1 species
GGCUGCGGGGCUCGGGUCUGUAAAGCCUGGAAGAGCGCUGGGCUGUGUUCCAAGCACCGUCACUCCCUCGAGCUGUACCCUCUCCCUUCGGGGUCCUCGGCUCUUCUCCAAGGAGGGGUUUAGGGAGUCUGAGUUGAAACUGAAUCAAAGUUGGAAAUUUGUUCUCCUUAAGUUCAUUGCUUAAAAUUCAGUCCCUUCUUGUGGCUGACAGUAACCUGGAACAGAUCCUUCUCAGUGUAGCUGAUGAAGGUCAUAUUAGAUGUAACUUUCUGGGGAAAGUUCUGUUGGCGGCAGCCUGUCUAAAAUGUCAAGGCUCCCUCUGAUUUUGUCCUCAUCUGCAGCCUCAUACAGAGUUUCAGAUAUUUUUUUUCCCACGUCACUGUAAAAGUGGAGAAUGUGUCUGGGUGAUUUGAGGGGGUGGGAGGCAGAACGCAUUAGGGAACUGAAUUUUAUAAUCGUCUCUUGGCCCAUAAGGAACGUUCUGGAAAGGAAAACCUGUCAGGAAAGACCAAGGUGAUCCACCUUCUCACUAGAUGCUCAGUAAGGUCAUCGUGUGGCUUUGGAUCCAGAAAUGAAGUCCCAGGCAGGGUCUCCAGUCUGUUUUCAUGUUAGUCCACUUCUGCAUUAACUUGCAGCGUCUUCUUCAUCACCAUGGGGGUUUAGCUGAGCCUCCCCAGAAUCCAGUCAGAAAAUCAUUGUCUAGGAUGCAAUCUUACUGCUUUCCAUGAAGUGUGGAUCCAGUCAAUUAGGGGUUCGAUGCCUUGAGUCUCCUGUCCUUUUCCUCCUUCUCCUUAAUCCACCACUUGAGAUGAACUGUAAUGACCUGAUCUGUGGUCUCUGCAAAGCUGCACAGUGGAUUUAGGACAUCAGAAAGUCCAACAUCCAAGGCCUUUGAUGUGAUUUACAAACUGAAUUUGGAUUACAGCUACAUUUUCAGGGAUGGCUCAACCUAAGACAUGUAGUAGCUUUGAGGACACACGAGAAGAAGGAAAAUUGUCAAGUGCAAACUUACCCUGGAAAUCUAUUCUAGAAGCUAUGACUUCACAUUUAUCCGAAAGAGAUAUUCUGCUGCCAGUUUGGGUCCCUGCUUUCUAAAGGAAAGGCCACUGCUCUCUCUGGCUUCCAGCUGUGAUGUCUGGUCACCCCCGCCUCCCUCCUGAAGCAGCCGCACCCAGGGUGCAUGCCCACCCAGUGGCCCUUAUGAAGUGGUGAUCACUCUGACCAGCAGGUGAGUGCCCUCUGGGAAGAGACCUCAGUGGGCAUCUGAAAACGAGGUCUCAGCUCUCACGUGCAGGAGGGAAGGGGAAGGAGCCAACU